GAUGUGGUAGCCAAAUGGUAAGGCGUUUGCCCGCAAGGCAAAUAUCGCAGGUUCAAUUCCUGCCCACAUCU
rnacentral:tRNA from 1 species